ensembl:lncRNA
ACCGGUACAGAGUCAAUGUGGAGACUAUAUACAGGGGGCACCGGUACAGAGUCAAUGUGGAGGCUAUAUACAGGGGGCACCGGUACAGAGUCAAUGUGGAGGCUAUAUACAGGGGGUACCGGUACAGAGUCAAUGUGGAGACUAUAUACAGGGGGCACCGGUACAGAGUCAAUGUGGAGGCUAUAUACAGGGGGUACCGGUACAGAGUCAAUGUGGAGGCUAUAUACAGGGGGUACCAGUACAGAGUCAAUGUGGAGGCUAUAUACAGGGGGUACCGGUACAGAGUCAAUGUGGAGGCUAUAUACAGGAGGUACCGGUCCAGAGUCAAUGUGGAGGCUAUAUACAGGAGGUACCGGUACAGAGUUAAUGUGGAGACU